CAUAUCACGUGGAAAUCCUAUAAGAUUCAGUAUUACUUUUUAAUUUCAUAUUUGCCAGUCUCGAUGUCGAAGCGCAACGCGACAUCCACAAUCUUAUCGUCAGCUCUCUCUCUCGGGAUUGUUCACGUCGAGUGAUCAAAUGAAGAGAACGACUUCCUCGACUUAUCGAGGAACUUAGUUUUCCUCGUUCGCGCAAUCCCUCCUGCACGGCGGCGCGAGCGCGUUCAACGCACUCGCGCGAGCAGAAGCAAAUCCGGCCAAUCACGUGGCGCGGCCAACUUCAAAACGAGCGCUCGCCGGUCGGUCGGAGUCCGCGCGCCGCUCAGUCACGCUCGUGCGGCCGCGACGAUCAUUUCGUUUUGUUUGUUCAGCGUUUAACCCGCCGCGCGCUCGUCACCCGUUCGCACCACGCGUCACGCCUGUUUCCGGCGAGGUUAAGCGCGCGGCGGUCGCAAACGUCUCCAGUGCGCGCGAAGACGCGCGCGUUUCGGCGCGACGAGGGUGUCGCGUCUCUUGGUCCAUACGUAACGUACGUACGUCGAGCAUGCGCCGCAACCUAGUUGGGUAGUCGUCGCCCGUAUCCGGAUUCUGCAAGAUUUUUCCCCGCGACGGCAGAGCGCGAUGCGUCACGUCCCGGCGACCCUCGCCUGGCACUCGGAACACCGACUUCACGUCGGGAUUACCGCGACGGGAAUCUUGGGUGUGAACGAUAACCGGGACUUCCUCCCGGGUCGAUGACUCGGCCACUCGAUCACGAAUCUCUCAAUCACCAUCCGGCACGCCUAGGUUAGGUCGCUGCGGCAGCAGGAAGUUGGCCGUGAAUGGAUCGAAUCCGCUCUUCUCUCCCGCGGUUGCACGCAGCCUCUAUAUUACAUACAUAUGUGAUAAUGACCUUUGUAGUUGACUCUGAAAAUACGAAAGGGGAAAGGCAACGUUCUUCCACUCUGACGCGAUGCAGUUCUCCAUGAAGUAAACUCUAUUUCUGUUCUGUCUUUUCCGCGCGGCCUUGAAAGUCUCAGGGGAUGACCUAACUUUACCCUCUAUCACUCGUUCUCUCCGAGGGAGUUAAUACCAUGGCGCACAGAGCAACGUAAGCAGUUUGUGUGGACUCCAAGCUUGGAUAAGUUCUUACGUGUCGUUGC